GACGAACGCUGGCGGCGUGCCUAAUACAUGCAAGUAGAACGCACAGUUUAUACCGUAGCUUGCUACACCAUAGACUGUGAGUUGCGAACGGGUGAGUAACGCGUAGGUAACCUGCCUGGUAGCGGGGGAUAACUAUUGGAAACGAUAGCUAAUACCGCAUAAUAUUAAUUAUUGCAUGAUAAUUAAUUGAAAGGUGCAAUUGCACCACUACCAGAUGGACCUGCGUUGUAUUAGCUAGUAGGUGAGGUAACGGCUCACCUAGGCGACGAUACAUAGCCGACCUGAGAGGGUGAUCGGCCACACUGGGACUGAGACACGGCCCAGACUCCUACGGGAGGCAGCAGUAGGGAAUAUUCGGCAAUGGACGAAAGUCUGACCGAGCAACGCCGCGUGAGUGAAGAAGGUUUUCGGAUCGUAAAGCUCUGUUGUAAGAGAAGAACGGGUGUGAGAGUGGAAAGUUCACACUGUGACGGUAUCUUACCAGAAAGGGACGGCUAACUACGUG
rnacentral:rRNA from 1 species